rnacentral:rRNA from 1 species
GUGGGGAAUAUUGGACAAUGGGCGAAAGCCUGAUCCAGCCAUGCCGCGUGUGUGAAGAAGGUCUUCGGAUUGUAAAGCACUUUAAGUUGGGAGGAAGGGCAGUAAGUUAAUACCUUGCUGUUUUGACGUUACCGACAGAAUAAGCACCGGCUAACUUCGUGCCAGCAGCCGCGGUAAUACGAAGGGUGCAAGCGUUAAUCGGAAUUACUGGGCGUAAAGCGCGCGUAGGUGGUUUUGUAAGUUGGAGGUGAAAUCCCCGGGCUCAACCUGGGAACUGCCUCAAAAACUGCAUGACUAGAGUACGGUAGAGGGUAGUGGAAUUUCCUGUGUAGCGGUGAAAUGCGUAGAUAUAGGAAGGAACACCAGUGGCGAAGGCGACUACCUGGACUGAUACUGACACUGAGGUGCGAAAGCGUGGGGAGCAAACAGGAUUAGAUACCCGUGUAGUCC